GACGAACGCUGGCGGCGUGCCUAAUACAUGCAAGUCGAACGCAUUUUCUUUCACCGUAGCUUGCUACACCGAAAGAAAAUGAGUGGCGAACGGGUGAGUAACACGUGGGUAACCUGCCCAUCAGCGGGGGAUAACACUUGGAAACAGGUGCUAAUACCGCAUAAUUCCAUUUACUGCAUGGUAGAUGGAUGAAAGGCGCUUUUGCGUCACUAAUGGAUGGACCCGCGGUGCAUUAGCUAGUUGGUGGGGUAACGGCCUACCAAGGCUGCGAUGCAUAGCCGACCUGAGAGGGUGAUCGGCCACACUGGGACUGAGACACGGCCCAGACUCCUACGGGAGGCAGCAGUAGGGAAUCUUCGGCAAUGGACGCAAGUCUGACCGAGCAACGCCGCGUGAGUGAAGAAGGUUUUCGGAUCGUAAAACUCUGUUGUUAGAAAAGAACAAGGAUGAGAGUGGAAAGUUCAUCCCUUGACGGUAUCUAACCAGAAAGCCACGGCUAACUACGUG
rnacentral:rRNA from 1 species